GAAGUCACUCUCCGCCCGGUUCCUGCGAAGGGCCGCGAACCUGCCCCGAGGCCUGUUCCUGCCCCCGCCCUGGGCCCCGGCUGUGCGCGAAGCCCACACCGGGCGAUGGGGCACCCGUGCUGCCUGAGGCUGAAAUAACCCGGGGCUUCUGCUCAGGAGCCAGGGCAUCUUCUUCCUCGCUUCGGCCCUGUUGACCAGGUUGCCGUCACUGAAACCUCGAAUCCUGCCACAACAAUAGCCAUCUCUAACGAUGCCCGCCGGGGACCUAGGGCAGCCUCCCGAGUCUGCAGGUGGGGCAGGGCUGUGAGGCUGAAAGUCAGGCAGACCCCUCUGAAGCUGCGGAGGUGCACACAGCUUCCCGGGAUGGGGAGCAAGACCCCAGUCACUCGCACACCAGAUGCCACCGGAAACCACGCCCGUUUGCUCUUGGAUACCAUGGCAACCUGCAAGACAAGGUCUCUCCGUGUCUCAGAGGUCCCAGGAGCAAAGGGACUAGGCAGCUGGGGCCCAGCUCCAGGCCAAGCCUCUGCCCAUCAACCCACAGGCUGUUGAGGACAGAGCAGCACACUCAGCCCCAAACAGUCUUGCCUGCACUUUGCACCCCUGAGAACCUCAGAGGAACCCUCAGAGUCCUCCAAGGGGUCACUAGGCCCCCUGAGGUCAGCCAGGUAAGCAGAGGUAUCCCACGAUCUGGCUCCCCACCCCCACCUCCCAGCCUGCAGGCAGGGAUGCUCCGCUGCUCAGGGAUGGAGAUCAAGACAGGAAGCCUGAGCCCUGCUCCCUGACCUCCUCCCCAGCCUGCACCAGGCCCAGAGCCCCUCCUGUCCUCUGUUUGGGGCCUGAAGCCCGCCUGCAGUCUUCUGCAAGAGGCUCGCUGGACCCUCUGCCAUUCCCAUGUCACUUCCCCCUCGGCCCUGGAAACCCCAGCUCCCAAUCUGCAGCCGCAAGCCAGGGGCACGCAUGCUGUCUGCUUGGUGAUCUAGUCAAACCAGUUGCCAACUGUAAAAAAACUGUAAAAAAAUCAGAUUUUCCAUGAAAACCAGACUGCAGAUUUCUCCUGGAAAAUCAUGUGGCAGCUCGGGACCCAUAGUCCCUGGUGGCCCAAGGUCGCUGAGGAACAGCUGCCCUGAGAUCUUCCCCAUGUCUGUAACCUGCUGCUUUUGGCAGAUGUCCGAGCCCCUCCUCCCUCUCCCCUGGCAGUCUGCACCACCAAGCAGCUUCUUUCUGACAAAGACCCCUAAUGGCUGUCACAGCACGUCACAAGGUGAAACCUCACGCCCCAGCUGGGCUAGAGCCCCUCUUCUGAAGCCCCUGUUAGACCACCAUCUGCCCUGAAGCCAAGCCCACCGACAUCAGGGGCCUGGAUUGCCCUGUGCCGCGCCCACACCUGCUUCCAGAAGCCCUUCACGGCCCUUCGCAAGUCCUGUCCCUUCCCUGGAUCUACCCGCAGCAAAGCCUGCGUGCGCAUCCCAGCCCUGGACUGGUGCAGGCCAGGGUCAGUAACUUCUCUGUAAAGAACCAGACUGUCGAUAUUCUAGGCUGUGGCCCCCACGGCCUGCUGCGACUACCCUGCUCUGCUCUGUGGCACAAGAGCAGCCUGAACAAUAGAUGGACCGAGGACACGUGCCAUUCAGAUAAAACUAUCCACAAAAAUAAUGGCAGCCAGAUCUGAUCCCAAACUUCUGAACUAAAUCUGUCCUCCCAAACAGAAGUGACAAACUCUUGCCCACAUUUCCCAUGCAGAGGACACUGCAUAGCUGGCCACCAGCCCUAGGCUGCCAGGUGUGUGGCCGGGUCUGCCUUGCUGAGUGUCCUUGGGCCUGAAUUUCAUUUGGCUGGUGGCUCUUGGGUCACCAUUGUGAGCCCAGCCUGUCAGGGCUCACUCCGAGCAGACAGGAGGUGCACACUGCAGGCCACUGGCCCCAGCACCCUCUGCCCCAAAGGAAGCAGACUGCACUGUAGCCCAAAGGCCUGCUCCUGAGGGUCCCAGGUCAUCCCUGACCACCCACAGCCUCCCAGCCCCAAGAGGCGGAAGUCCUUAAUCCCAUCUUGCAAAAGAGAAAACUGAGACAGAGUCACUUGGUCACAAACCGCCCCCCUAAGAAUUGGCAGAGCUGGGAUUUGAAUCCCAGGCCCACCCAGCUCCAGCAUCUGUGCAGCCCAGCACCGAGCCUAGUGCUGAGCAGGACUGGGUGAGCCCUUGGCAGGGCCCAAGUUCCCUUCAGCCUGGUGACCCUGGUCAGCAGCUGACUGCACACACAUUUAAAACUGAGUUCACUGCCAACACUAAGAACUGGGGUAUUUCAGAUAGAUAUAAAGUGCUCAUUUCUCUUAAAGAAAAAAAAAAUGAGCUGUUCAGCUACGGUAGGCCCACGUUCCUGCAGGGUGGCGAGAGAUGGCCCUUGGAUAGAACAUGCACCAUCCAGUGAGCUACGUUCCCCCCUGCCUGGCUCUCUCACCCACAGGCCCUGCGGACCCUGAGCACUGGGCUGGGGGUGGCUGCAGGCCCAUGGUGCUCCCUCAGGCCUAGAGGAUGCAGGACAUGCAAGGCCUUUGCUUCCAAGGCUGAAUCCUGGGCCCUGUGAGCAGCUGGGGGCCACCACCAACCACCACACCAAGUGACUGCUGCCCUUUACCCCAAUGUGUCCUCUGGUGCUCACAGGAGCCCAGGAGCAACAGGCUGUGACAACGCCCCCUUCAUGGAGAGCAGGCGUGGAGGGGCCAGGGUCACUCAGCCGGUAAUGGCUGGGCUGGGACUCAAACCAGCUCCUCUGAGGCUUGGCUGCAGCCACUGCCCUGGCCAGUGCACAGGGCUUGCCCCGGGGCUGGCCUCACUUCUCCAUCCUGGCUCAGGGCUCUCUGUACCUCGGGCGCUGCCCGCCUGUCCUGCCUGCAGUGUCCCCGCCAGGGCCCACCUCUUCCAGCUCGCUGACAGCUGUGAGCAGAUCCCUCCCCUUUCUCCCUAAGCGGCCCCAGCGUGUCCAAUCCUGCCCCAGGGCUGGGCUGGCCAGCUUCCCAGAGCCAGCCCCCUUCCGCCCGAGCCCUCUUGCCCAGCCUGGCCUGACCCAGUGACCACAGCAGCGAGUGGAAGUGGAGCCACAGAGACCCUAGUGACGGAAGCACGGGGCUGGGGGCUCCCAGAGUGGCAGCGGGUGGCAGGUGGCCCCGCAGUCAGGAUGAGCUGAGCAGCCUUGCAAAGGCAAUGCCAGCCCUUGGCAACAGAUCUGGAAGGUUCCUGGAUCCCCACGGACCCUGCUUUCAGCUGGAGGGAAGGAGCGUCAACAUGGAAACCAGCGGAGGAGGAUCGGAGGAAGUUCUGCCAGGACGCUGGCCGCCAAUCCAGCUCCCACAGAGACAGCCUGCGGGGAGGCGGGGUCACAGGCCCCCAGUACCCAGGACCAGGGCUCCCUGGGGCACCCGCUCUGACCCAGAGCCUGACCUAGGUUGAGGGACGGUGCUGUCUGUGCUUGAUCCCCACCCCGCACCCGCUCCUGGAUUCUCACCCCUCCUGCAGCUGAUGGUUUGUGUCACCCCGUGGGGCCUCAAGAUGCCUGGAUGUCACUCACCUCUCACCAUCGGGCCCAGACUGUAACUGUGUGAUCCCGUGUCAUUACAUGCCUCGAUUUUUUGUGGAGCACCCUGUUCCAAAGACCCAGAUCUGCAGGUGUCACAGAGCCUUUUACAAAUGAGGAAGCGAAGACUCUGCAGACCCGGCCACUGUCACGUUUUACUUCCUGAGCAGAACCUCUGUGUACCCAGAUGGUCCCGACCAGCCAUUGAGGCCAGCCUCAACUCCCCUCACCCCUCGCACCCCAUAUAUUUGGCUCCACCUGCCCUUUUUAUCUUUUGAGACAGGGUCUCACUGAGUUGCUUAGAGCCUUGCUAAGUUGCUGAGGCUGCCUUGAACUUUCGAUCCUCCUGCCUCAGCCUCCCGAGCUAUGGGGUUUUCAGGUGUGUGCCACCACGCCACUGUGCUCCAUGUCCCUUUUUAAAAUGGAUUCCAAGCUUCUCUAAAAGCAAUGGGAAGAUCUGGUGCUGUGGAUAGUGCUGAUGUGCCACCUCCGCUCUGCAGGGGACGCGUGCCCUCCUCUGCAGCCGUCUCCCGGCCCACCUCACUCGCUUCUGCCAUCCGCCUGGUGCCUCAGAGCCGGGGUUGCUGACCCCAGACCACACAAGCUGGUCUGUCUCCUGUUCCCUGGCCCAAGGCUGCCUACCCUGCGCUGCCUCUGCUCCAGGCCCAGCCGGGGUCUGGGGUCUGUCCUGACUCAGGUCCCUGUGCCUGCUGUUGCCUCGACCUUCCUGACCUCAGGUGCUGCCCUCCUGUGCCACGGCAUUCCCUCGCCUCGGUUGUGCCUGCCCACCUCCCACCAGACUCUGCACCCAGGGGACCCUGGGGCAGCGAGUGGCAUGAACAGACCCAGAAGCAGAUGGGCCCCCGGGGCAGGGCGGAGGGCUGGGGGCUGGCCCUGCCACAUCAGGGCUCAGAGGCCCAGCAGUGACCAGGGCGAUCGUCAUCUCCACACGAGGACACCCGCCGGGGCCCGACCCAUGCUGCUGGGUGGUUAGAGCUGGGGUCCCUGCCAUGGCCGGAUCUGAGACGGGAAAAUCUGGUGAAACCCAAGUACAGUCUAGAAUGCAGUCCUGACCCAGGGUUUGGUUUUGACAGCUGUCCCAGGAUCUAAGAUGACGACAACAGGGAAACUGGACCUGGGGGACCACGCGUGGAACCCUCUGUGGUGUCUCUGCGAGUCUCUGUAAAUCCGAAGUUAUGCAAGUAAAAACGCCAUUUUAAAAUAAAUGACGUGCACACCCCGGUGGCCUAUGCAACGUGCCAAGGAAACAGUGGUCACACGCGCUAUUGAUACCAGCCACAUCGCGCCCAGAGUCAAGCCUGGCGCUGGCCACUGCUGCCGCCGCUGACC
rnacentral:lncRNA from 1 species